rnacentral:misc_RNA from 1 species
GGUUAUUCAUUAACCCUUUGUUGUCCGACUUCUGUUGCCUCCGGGGCGACCCUGCCUUCGGGCGGGGGCUCCGGGUGGACACUUCAAACUCUUGCGUAACUUUGCAGUCUGAGUAAACUUAAUUAAUAAAUUAAAACUUUUAACAACGGAUCUCUUGGUUCUGGCAUCGAUGAAGAACGCAGCGAAAUGCGAUAAGUAAUGUGAAUUGCAGAAUUCAGUGAAUCAUCGAAUCUUUGAACGCACAUUGCGCCCCCUGGUAUUCCGGGGGGCAUGCCUGUUCGAGCGUCAUUUCACCACUCAAGCCUCGCUUGGUAUUGGGCAACGCGGUCCGCCGCGUGCCUCAAAUCGUCCGGCUGGGUCUUCUGUCCCCUAAGCGUUGUGGAAACUAUUCGCUAAAGGGUGUUCGGGAGGCUACGCCGUAAAACAACCCCAUUUCUAAGGUUGACCUCGGAUCAGGUAGGGAUACCCGCUGAACUUAAGCAUAUCAAAA